rnacentral:rRNA from 1 species
UACGUAGGGUGCAAGCGUUGUCCGGAAUUAUUGGGCGUAAAGAGCGUGUAGGCGGCCCGAUUAGUCCGCUGUGAAAGUCCAGGGCUCAACCCUGGAAUGCCGGUGGAUACUGUCGGGCUAGAGUCCGGAAGGGGCGAGUGGAAUUCCUGGUGUAGCGGUGAAAUGCGCAGAUAUCAGGAAGAACACCAAUGGCGAAAGCAGCUUUCUGGGACGGUACUGACGCUGAGACGCGAAAGCGUGGGGAGCGAACAGG